GGACUGAGAGAUUGCUCCUACGUCCAAGGACGGCAGCAGGCGCGAAAAUUGCCCACUCUUCUUUUGGAGGAGGCAGUUAUGAGACGUGAAUAAAGGAAGUACAGUAAAUAAGUGCUUGUAAAGCAAUUGGAGGGCAAGUUUGGUGCCAGCAGCCGCGGUAAUACCGACUCCAAGAGUGUCUAUUGUGGAUGCUGCAGUUAAAAAGUCCGUAGUUUUUUUGUGCAAUUAAAAGGUAUUGAUCAAAGAUACCAAGUUUGCAACAAUAUUUUUCGGAACGGAUAGGGAACAUAGUAUAGAUGGGCGAGAGAUGAAAUGACCAAGACCCCAUCUGGACUAACAGAGGCGAAAGCGAUGUUCUUAGACGAAUCUGUGGAUCAAGGACGAAGGCCGGAGGAUCGAAAGUGAUUAGAUACCGCUGUAGUUCCGGCAGUAAACUAUGCCGACAUCUUUUCCAUGAAUUUAAUAGUGGGAGAGAGGGAGAAAUCUUAGUGUUCGGGCUCUGGGGAUAGUAUGCUCGCAAGAGUGAAACUUAAAACGAAAUUGACGGAAUAACACCACCAGGAGUGGAUUAUGCGGCUUAAUUUGACUCAACGCGGGACAACUCACCAGGGUCAAGUCUAUCAAAGAUUGAAUACAUGAGAUAGGCAGGAGUGGUGCAUGGUCGUUGGAAAUUGAUGGGAUGACUUUUAGCUUAAAUGCUGAAAUGAGUGAGAUCUUCUAGACAGGUGUUUUAUAACACAGGAGGGAGAAGGCUAUAACAGAUCAGUGAUGCCCUUAGAUAUCCUGGGCUGCACGCGUAAUACAAUUCUGAUUAUUUGUUAGAUAAAUCUAAUAAUAAUAUUUUUCAGAGAGAGGGAUUGAUUCUUGUAAAUGAAUCAUGAACGAGGAAUUCCUAGUAACAGUGUCUCAUUAAGAGAUUGUGAAUGUGUCCCUGUUGUU
rnacentral:rRNA from 1 species